AGUCUCCAGCAUGACCAUCCCCCAGAUGGUGCACAUCUCACUCAUUAUAUAUGUAUAUACCCGCCCCCCUCCCUAAAUGUGUGUUUUGAUACCCCUGUGCUGACCCAGAACCUCUAUUUACUUUUUAGAUUUCGUGUUUUCAUUUUCUUUUUUGCUUUUUUAAUUAAAUGUACAUUUUUGCCCCUUUAACAAUUCUUGCUGAGUUUGCUAAAUAAAUUGUACUUCAUCCACAUCAAUAAAAAUAAAAUGCUAUCUUGUUAUGGACAAUGAAAAAGAAAAAGUCCAGUUGUACCAAAUAUCUUCUGAAAAAAUUUCUAUUAAACUCUACCAUCAUCUUUCUCUGAUUUUAGUGUACUUCAUUUUUCUUUAUGGCACUUAGCAUUAUUUGAUAUUGUUGCAUGUUUAUUUGUAAAUUGAUUUAUUUUUUGCCUUCUCUGCUAGUAAUGUAAAUUCUGUUAGGAUAGGGACUUUGUCUAUUUUGUUUGCUUUCUUGUUCCUAGCAUCUGAAAUAUAGCCUGGUACAUAGUAGGGCCUCAAAAAGUACUUGACAGAUUAAUGAGCCAAUUUAACAAGUAGAUACUAUUUGUGAUGCUCUGCCAGAUCUCUCCUCUCUGUGAACUUGAAGUGAAAGUAUGCACACAGCCAAGUAUACAGACUUACAUCCUUAACAUUACCUUUUUGCAAGAUUUCUCCUACCCACAUCUUCUCUUUGAAUUAUUUUUAAAAGUCUGGACACUUUAGUCCUAGAAAGAGGACCAGAUUUGAAGUCAAAGACUUGAUCUCAAAUCUUUUGUUCACCAUUUGCUAAAUGCCCUAACGUCCCUGCACUUUGAUGUUCUCUGUUAUGCAAUGGGGAUACUACUUGUUCUGCCUACCUAAUAAGGCUUUACAUUUAUUGUAAAGAUGAAAUGAAAUGAGUUUGUCUCCCUCCCACACUGUGUUGUUUUCUGAAUUCUUCUGGAAAUUCUCUCCUGGUCAGUAUCUUCUCUCAAGAGGAUAGUUGAAAAGAUCCUCUAAAGACCCAGAAGACGUGGAUCCAUUACAGAGAGUUAACAUUGUUUUCCAAGUCUUCCCAGACACCAACUGAAGAAAAUUCGCAGGAAGACAAGGCCUCCUCUCUCCUAGUCAUAAUUUAUAGUACAUAAUUGUCUGAGAAACUUGAUCAUCAGCCCUGGGAGCAGAUACCCUACCCCUCCACCUGGGAAGCUGAUGGAACAGGACAGAGAGGAUAGUGUCCAACAGAAGUAGGAGGAGGGUAGGUUUCUGUAACAGACAGCCUAGGAUAAGGACAUUAUUGUCUGGGAGAAAAGAAAUGAUUGAAAGGUUCUGAAAACUGAGAUAUCUACAUCCCCAAUGACCUUAUUAGCCUGAAAUAGAACAAAAAAUCUCUUCCUCACAUAAUGGUAAUGGUGGAAAGCAAAAUGAACCCAUGGAUGUAGCACAAGAUCCAGAGUUGUGUGGAGGAAUCAUGGCAGCAGUGAUCACCUUUCAGUAACUGUCCUUUCCUGCUAGUCAUUUCAUAUGCCUACAUAUGCUGUCGCCAUACACUGCCUAAGCUGCAAUUUGUCUUUUUCCCUCCUCAGAUCUCUCCCUGGUUUCCUUACUUUCCUGUCCACAAUUUAUCAAAUAUCUGUGGUCUGCUGCUUUGCCAAUUUUACUUAGCUUCCUUUUUCAUGUUAUUGAGUGGUACUAAAAGAUGCACAAGGCUUUAAAAUCCUGACAUGAAUGAUGGAUGAGGUCCAACAUCAAGAAUCUGCAGCAAAGACACUUGUGGUGUAAGAAUGUAUAAAUAGAGCCUGGUGAUUUUCUGUUGAGUUUGUUUGGGGAAUGAACGAUGAUUAGAAUUAGUUUUUUUCUGUUUUAAAAAGUUGCCUUGCAAAGAAGUAGAAGACAAUUGUAUCUGCUAUUUAAAUUUUCUGUACAAACCAAGCAUGUUUAUAACAAAAAAAAACACCAGUACAAAUAAACCAGAUCAAAUGAGAUCACUGAUAGAGAUAAAUGUUAUCCAGAUGUUUGUCGUUAUUUCCACUUUAAGUUCACAUUUAUUUUGACCAGAUCACUGGUCAAAGAUACAAGUAUGAAGUUCAGGGCCAUGCACACUGUGUUUUUCCCCAAUAAUGAUGCACUUAGUUUAUGUUUCUUUCUCGUGGUGAAGGAAAUAAUGCCUGUGUAUGGCAGGACAAUGGUUCAUUGAGUUUGCACCAGAGUAAUGUGGAUUCUUCACAGACCUAUUAAGUACCAGGGCCGCUGGCCUUCUUUGUGUUCCCUGGACAAGCGAAGAAGACAGGAACCAGGAUGAGAAAAUGGACAGGCUGCAUUUUAAACUGGAGCUUCCCCUGCAGUUUAUGGAGCACGUUCUUGGUGUGCAGCUGAUCCUGACGUUCUCCUGCCAACUGCACGUGAGUUGGUACCUUAGGGAGGCCAUCCUCUCCCUUUGUCUUUCAAUAGAAUAGAGCCCUCCUUCUGAUUGCUAGGAAGACCCAUACUGUUACAAACUCUCUCCUGGGGUGUAGUUUGGGAUGUAACUUAGGCCAGUCGAAUGUUUUUCACUGGGGUCAUACUAGUUUAUAUGGGCUAUCAACAGGGUUCCUAUAUAGCUACACUAGGUAUGUGAGAGCCUGUCAGGCUUUAGCCAAGACUGGUGGCUCCUAGAGCCCAGAGACCUUCAUAUCUGUCGGCAGUUGGUACUGUCUCUCCUUGUGCUGAUUUCAGAGGAUGUCUACGAUUGUGAUGCAGAGCAUGGUGUUCCUCCAGUCCUCCUCUGCCAUUCCCGGGUCCCGGUUACAUGUGAAUGGAGACCUGAGGUUGCAGCAGAGGCAGCUGCUAAGCUAUGGUGGCCUAGAUGUCCAAUACAACGUUCUGUGAUCAACGGGACCAUCCCUUUUGCCUGUGACUAUGACCUCACCCACAUUGUUGCUGCCUACCAGGAAAGGAAUGGUGGUGAGUCCUGGGUGGGAAGCAUUCAGCCACCGCCCAAGGACAUUUCAGGUUCGUCGGGGCAACAGAGACAAAAAGAACUGGAGCCCUUGUCAUGAUCAAAAUGUCAGAACCAGCAAAUGCUCAGUGAUGGGAGCCAACAGACUACCCAGGAUCUGUCCUUUCUGUCCUGAUAAUUAGACCUGCAACACCCCCUCCUCCACCCCUCCUGUGGGCCAGCAGGGUAUUUGAAACAUUCUUGCCAUUUCCUGCCUGACCUAAACCUUGAUUUAUUUUGACUUGCAACAUGUGGUGUGUGACUCCUUAACUGUCUGUACUUAUCAACCAGGAUUCUGGGACAUGAUGAAGUUUGCCUGGGUCCAGUAUUUCAGUAACCUGAUCAUCUUCCUUUGGGUGUUUGAAAGAGUCAAGAUAUUCGUGUUUCAGAAUCAGGUGGUGACCACAGUCCCUGCAAACGCAAUGCCCCAUGGAGAAGUGUAUAAGGAGCACUUAUCCUAAGAAGACCAUUUCUGAAGACACAGCAGGAACAAUGCUACCUCACUGUUGUCUUCUAGGAACUGCCAUCCUAUGACAUUUCUGCAAGAGCCAGUGGACAUCUGUUCUUCAGUGCUUUUCCCCUCAGACACAAAAACAGUUCUUUCCAAUUUUGCUCUACACAAAUUUUGUAUGUUCUAAGCCAUCACGAAGUAAUUUAUAGAAAGGCCUGAGGGGUCCUCAGAGCCAUAAUUUGCCUUUGGUGGGUAUUUUUGUUUUGUUUUGUUUUGUUUUGUUUUGUUUUCCUGCCUUAGCCUUGAAUUUCAGGAGAAAAUUAUGGUCAGUUCAGAUGUCUUGGAAAGAGUCCCAUCUUGGGUCAGGCAAAGACUUUUUCCUCUCUGAACUGAGAGACAGCGUGCAUUUCUUCUCGCUGUUGUGAAUCACUUUUUACUCUUUUCAGGGCUCUUAUGACAAAUAUGUAAAUCACUAGCACUUUCCACUCCUGGGUAUCUCUGUUUCCCACUCAGAGGUUUGAUUUCCAGAGCUGAGGCCUUUAACUGAAACUUUGGAGAGGCCGGCACAAACACUAGGGCUGCUCACGCUUGUGCAUGAGGGUGAGUGGCUAAAGGACCCUGGGACCAUACACCUGCCCUUGCUCUAACAGACACUCAUCUGUCAUCAGCUCGGCUGAGCAGCCCUCUAUCCCUGCCCUACUGUGGCUGGCUUUGCCCUGCCUUUUACCCUCUUGUCUGUGCCCCUGGAAUGGCAGGCUGAAGUCACAAGUGCUGUCUCAUUGGCAACCCCCUUCAGCAACGGUGGGGGAAGUAGGACUGUAACAACAGAUUCUCUCUGGCCCUCACCCAGCAGCCUAGACACUGCCUACUGCUCCUCCUUGACAGCCCCCCCCCCUAACCGAAAAGGACAGGGUGACAGAGGAGUUGUUGGUAUUGGCUCCCACUGCCUGACAGCCACGAGUUUAUCUGUAGGGCUAGUGGGAAGCCGAGAGACGUGUAUUUCCCUUGAUGAAGGAUCAGAGUGGACAGCUGCCCAUCAGAGUGGACAGCUUGGGGAAGGACACAAGAAGCAGUGAAGGAGUAAAAAGGACACUACCCUGGGCAGUCCAGUCCUAUCUGGCCUUUAGCAGAAUGACAAGCAGUCCAGCC